rnacentral:lncRNA from 11 species
CACUCGCACCUCUCUCUCACUCGGCCCACUCGCGCCUCUCUCUCACUCGGCCCACUCACACCCCUCUUGCACUCGGCCCACUCACGCAUCUCUCUCACUCGGCCCACUCACGCCCCUCUCGCACUCGGCCCACUCACGCAUCUCUCUCACUCGGCCCACUCACGCCCCUCUCGCACUCGGCCCACUCACGCAUCUCUCUCACUCGGCCCACUCACGCCCCUCUCGCACUCGGCCCACUCACGCCUCUCUCUCACUCGGCCCACUCACGCCCCUCUCGCACUCGGCCCACUCACGCCUCUCUCGCACUCGGCCCACUCACGCCCCUCUCGCACUCGGCCCACUCACGCCUCUCUCGCACUCGGCCCACUCACGCCCCUCUCGCACUCGGCCCACUCACGCCCCUCUCGCAUUCGGCCCACUCACGCCCCUCUCGCACUCGGCCCACUCACGCCUCUCUCGCACUCGGCCCUCUCGCCCUUGCAGCCCUCUUGCCCCUGAACAAGACCUGAGGCCAGGCCUCUGGGCCUGCUGCUCCACCUGCACCCUUCCUGGAUUCCUCUCGCAACGCCCGGCAGCCCUCCGUGGCUGGAAGGAGCUCUGGCAGGUCGAGCAGGCCUGUGCCCCUGCCAUGCACCUCCUUGGGGACCCUCUCAGCCAUGAAGACGGGGCAGGAACCGCUAUGACCCGACUGUAUCUGCUAAUUGUUCUGCAAUAAAGUAAAAGUGAUUAUUAGGUCCUGUCGUUUUCAUGGUUCUGAAAUUCCGAGGGGAUAAAUAAAAGUUAUUAAAGUUUGUUGUGCCCAGGAAUGAAAACUACAGUUUCACCCCUUGCCUCUCUCUCUCUCUCUCUCUCUUUUUUUACACUGAUGCAUUCCAGAACGUAGGAGCGAGUUCCCCAGCCGGCCUGCUCUG